rnacentral:rRNA from 1 species
CACGUAGGCGGAUAUUUAAGUCAGGGGUGAAAUCCCAGAGCUCAACUCUGGAACUGCCUUUGAUACUGGGUAUCUUGAGUAUGGAAGAGGUAAGUGGAAUUCCGAGUGUAGAGGUGAAAUUCGUAGAUAUUCGGAGGAACACCAGUGGCGAAGGCGGCUUACUGGUCCAUUACUGACGCUGAGGUGCGAAAGCGUGGGGAGUAAACA